GAUGAACGCUGGCGGCGUGCCUAAUACAUGCAAGUCGAGCGAACGGACGAGAAGCUUGCUUCUCUGAUGUUAGCGGCGGACGGGUGAGUAACACGUGGAUAACCUACCUAUAAGACUGGGAUAACUUCGGGAAACCGUAGCUAAUACCGGAUAAUAUUUUGAACCGCAUGGUUCAAAAGUGAAAGACGGUCUUGCUGUCACUUAUAGAUGGAUCCGCGCUGCAUUAGCUAGUUGGUAAGGUAACGGCUUACCAAGGCAACGAUGCAUAGCCGACCUGAGAGGGUGAUCGGCCAAACUGGAACUUGGACACGGUCCAGACUCCUACGGGAGGCAGCAGUAGGGAAUCUUCCGCAAAGGGCGAAAGCCUGACGGAGCAACGCCGCGUGAGUGAUGAAGGUCUUCGGAUCGUAAAACUCUGUUAUUAGGGAAGAACAUAUGUGUAAGGAACUGUGCACAUCUUGACGGUACCUAAUCAGAAAGCCACGGCUAACUACGUG
rnacentral:rRNA from 1 species